AUUUGUAUUACGAGUGAAAUUGUUACCAUUUUCGGCUCAAAAAUGGUAACAAUUUCCACACGUAAUACAAAU
rnacentral:miRNA from 1 species